rnacentral:rRNA from 1 species
UACGAGGGGGGGCAAGCGUUGUUCGGAAUUAUUGGGCGUAAAGGGUGCGUAGGCGGUUUGAUAAGUCAUCUGUGAAAUCUCUGGGCUCAACCCAGAGUCUGCAGGCGAAACUGUCGGGCUUGAGGUAUGGGAGAGGUGAGUGGAAUUUCCGGUGAUAGCGGUGAAAUGCGUAGAUAUCGGAAAGGAACACCUGUGGCGAAAGCGGCUCACUGGACCAUUACUGACGCUGAUGGCACGAAAGCUAGGGGAGCAAACAGG